rnacentral:rRNA from 1 species
UGAGCAAUCUGCCCUUCUCAUCGGAAUAAGCGUUGGAAACGACGUCUAAUGCCGAAUACGACCUCCUUUCGCAUGAUCGGAGGUGGAAAGCUCCGGCGGAGAAGGAUGAGCUCGCGGCCUAUCAGCUAGUUGGUGUGGGUAACGGCCCACCAAGGCGACGACGGGUAGCCGGCCUGAGAGGGUGACCGGCCACACUGGGACUGAGACACGGCCCAGACUCCUACGGGAGNAGCG